GACGAACGCUGGCGGCGUGCUUAACACAUGCAAGUCGAACGGAAAGGCCCUGCUUUUGUGGGGUGCUCGAGUGGCGAACGGGUGAGUAACACGUGAGUAACCUGCCCUUGACUUUGGGAUAACUUCAGGAAACUGGGGCUAAUACCGGAUAGGAGCUCCUGCUGCAUGGUGGGGGUUGGAAAGUUUCGGCGGUUGGGGAUGGACUCGCGGCUUAUCAGCUUGUUGGUGGGGUAGUGGCUUACCAAGGCUUUGACGGGUAGCCGGCCUGAGAGGGUGACCGGCCACAUUGGGACUGAGAUACGGCCCAGACUCCUACGGGAGGCAGCAGUGGGGAAUAUUGCACAAUGGGCGGAAGCCUGAUGCAGCAACGCCGCGUGCGGGAUGACGGCCUUCGGGUUGUAAACCGCUUUCGCCUGUGACGAAGCGUGAGUGACGGCAAUGGGUAAAGAAGCACCGGCUAACUACGUG
rnacentral:rRNA from 1 species